rnacentral:misc_RNA from 1 species
AACUUUUAGCAACGGAUCUCUUGGUUUUGGCAUCGAUGAAGAACGCAGCGAAAUGCGAUAAGUAAUGCGAAUUGCAGAAUUCCAGUGAGUCAUCGAAUCUUUGAACGCACAUUGCGCCCUUUGGUAUUCCGAAGGGCAUGCCUGUUCGAGCGUCAUUAUCACCCCUCAAGCCCCGUGCUUGGUGUUGGACGGCCGGUCGAGGUUUACCCCCGACCCCUCCUCAAGACAAUGACGGCGGCCUGUGGUUCCCCCGGUACAAUGAGCUUCUCACCGAGCACGUACCGGACAAGGGCGCCCAGGACCCGGUCUUCUCCUCUCGCGAGGAAAUAUUUUCAAGGUUGACCUCGGAUCAGGUAGGAAUACGCGCUGAACUUAAGCAUAUCAAUAAGCGGAGGCU